UGGGGAAUUUUCCGCAAUGGGCGAAAGCCUGACGGAGCAAGACCGCGUGAGGGAGGAAGGCCUACUGGUUGUAAACCUCUUUUGAUAGGGAAGAACACAAUGACGGUACCUAUCGAAUCAGCCUCGGCUAACUCCGUGCCAGCAGCCGCGGUAAUACGGAGGAGGCAAGCGUUAUCCGGAAUUAUUGGGCGUAAAGCGUCCGUAGGUGGUUUGUCAAGUCAGUUGUUAAAGCGUGGAGCUUAACUCCAUAAAGGCAAUUGAAACUGACAGGCUAGAGUGCGAUAGGGGCAAGGGGGAAUUCCCAGUGUAGCGGUGAAAUGCGUAGAUAUUGGGAAGAACAUCGGUGGCGAAAGCGCCUUGCUGGGUCUGCACUGACACUGAGGGACGAAAGCUAGGGGGAGCGAAAGGGGAUUAGAUACCCCUGUAGUCCUAGCCGUAAACGAUGGAUACUAGGCGUUGACCGUAUCGACCCGGUCAGUGCCGUAGCUAACGCGUUAAGUAUCCCGCCUGGGGAGUACG
rnacentral:rRNA from 1 species